CACCGCCAUCGUGUUGCUUUAGUAAAAAGGUGAACGUUGAGAAAUAUGCAUUUAAUGUCCUUAAUAUAAGUGGAAUAUAUCAAAGUAUAUCCCACAUAUGUGCCAAUCUUACCGUUGCCAGCAGGUGGCGCUAUCAUUAUAAUGGAAUAUUGGCCUUCAGAUGUGUUCAGGCCAGGACUCUUAUCAAACAUUUGAAGUUUGGGGAAGAUUGAACAUUUUAUGCUUGAGUUACAACAACUUCUCUUGCUGUGGCAAGACAUCAAAUUUUGUCAUGGCGCCAUGGAAACGCCCUUUAACAAAAACUCAAGAUCUCCAAAAGUUAACAUUGCACAGGCCUUUAGAUUAGACUGACCACAAAAUAUAUGUUAAUCUCAAAAAAAUUAUAGGAGUAGUUUUUCGCAGCGUAAAACAUGUCACUUCCUGUUGCCAAUAGGUGGCGCUAUGACUAUAACUGAAUGUGGGCAUGUAGAUCUGUUAAGGGCAGAAGUUUUAUCUAACAUGUGAAGUUUGGGGCAGAUUGGACAUUGUAUGUCUGAGUUACAGCAACUUCCUUUUUCAUGGCGAAACAUCGAAAUUUGUCAGGCCGCCAUGGACACGCCCUUUAACGAAAUCUAAAGAUCUUCGCAAUUUAACAUUGCAAAGGGCUUAAGAUUACACUGACCAGGUUUGGUGUUGAUCUGAAUAAAUCUCUAGGAGGAGUUCGUUAAAGUACAACCCCUGAAAAUGGCAAAAACAACGCCAAUUUUGCAGAGAAAAUUCUAAAUAACCGACUUCCUGUUGGGAUUCGGAUUUCGUACCAAAAGACUUUUUUGUAGGUAUUGGUGUGUUACAUGUGUAUACCGAUUUUUGUACAUGUACGUGAAACAUAGCUCUAGGCGCACUCUGUUGAAAGUGUAUAGGUGGCGCUAUCGAGCCAUUUUGCCACAUCUGAUGGAAUUUUGGCCUUCAGAUGUGUUCAGGCCAGGACUCUUAUCACACAUGUGAAGUUUGGGGAAGAUCAGACAUUUUAUGCCUGAGUUAUAACAUCUUUUAUUCCCAUGGCGAGACAUCGAACUUCGUGACGGCGCCAUGGACACGCCUUUUAACGAAAACUCAAGAUCUUCACAAUUUAACAUCGCACAGGCCUUUAGAUUAGACUGACCACAAAAAAAAAAUUGAUGUCAUAAAAUUUUUAGGAGUAGUUCAUUGCAGUGUAAAAUAUGUCACUUCCUGUUGCCAAUAGGUGGCGCUAUGACUAUAACUGAAUAUGGGCAUGUCAAUCUGUUCAUGUUAGGAGACUCAUCAAACAUGUGAAGUUUGGGGCAGAUUGGUCAUUGUAUGUCUGAGUUAUAGCAACUUCCUGUUUCAUGGCGAAUCAUCGAAAUUCGCCAGGCCGCCACGGACACACCCAUUAACGAAAACUCAAAAGCUUCGCAAUUUAACAUCGCAAAGGCCUUCAGAUUAGGCAUACCAAAUUUGGUGUUGAUCUGAAUGAAUCUCUAGGAGGAGUUCGUUAAAAUACAACGCAUGGAAAUGACAAAAAUGACACAAAAUUUGCUCAUAAUAUUAGUAAUAACCGACUUCCUGUUGGGUUUCGGAUUUUGCUCCAAGAGACUUUUUUGUAGGUAUUGGAGAGU